AUGCAUGUACAAAAAAGCGACACAUUCUUUAUAGAAAAAAAGCAAAGCGAUACAUUCAUUGUAUUCCGAACUUAGACCAUCUCCAUUGGGAAUUUCCUAACCAAAGUUUUAACUUUUAAACAAAAAAAUAUAAAUGGAAGAAGAUAAAAAAAAAAAAAUGCAGAACCUCCUCUUAAUUGGGCAUUUUUAGAGUUGCAGGCUUCUAGGGUUGCUUCUCACCUAAGGAUCUCCGUCGCCCAACGAGGGUUUGCGUCAGUGGUUGAGAGUGUGAAAGCUACCAGUGAUAUCAAUUCUCCGGUCUCUGGUAAGGUGGUGGAAGUUAAUGAGGUUCUGUCCGAGUCCCCUGGACUGGUGAACAGGAGCCCGUAUGAAGAUGGAUGGAUCAUAAAGGUGGAGUUGAGUGAUGCAGGCGAGGUAGAGAAGUUGUGAUGGAUUCUAACAAGUACUCCAAGUUCUGCGAAGAAGAAGACGCCAAGCACUGAGCUUUUCUUUCUUCUGGAAGUUUCCAGACGAAAUCUUGAUUUAUUAUGUACAAUGGACGAAUCAAGAAAAUCUUGAAGAAAAAGAAAAUAUUUAAGAACCCU